AGAGGCUGGAAACAAAACAGUCUUUCUUAUGCUGAGCCAUUGACUGUAUGGGAAUCUCUCUGUAGAGUCUUGAAUUCAUUAAAUUGCUUCCUGACAGGCCACAUUUCCUGAUCUCUAAAAAGCCCUGUGAGAAAGAAGUUACCUCCUGGUGUGUUCCCCAGGGCUUGAAAUGAAGUGUGGGAAGCUGGGGUGGCCACGGACCACUGGAGAGAGGAAUGUACAAUGAAAGGCAGGAGACUGACAAACAGCCCUCAACCAUUUAGGGGUCAUGUUAUUACUGCCCUUAAAGGCUGAAACUCUGUGCACCUUACUUGGAAGUAGGUACCACUGAACACAGUUGGACUUAUUCUUGACUCAACAUGCACAGAAUUGGGUUGCCUGUGUUUCUUUAAGAAUAUAAGCAACUGGAAAGAAAGAGCUGUUGAUGUUGGCACACUACACAAGAGUUGUCUGGCUGCACAAACAAUUUGCCUUCCAUUGCUGUCAACUAUCAGUAGUUUAUCAGGAGCUUAUCAGGAGGAAGAACAAAGCAACUCGUGACACCUGAAAGAGGAAGAGAUUGUUGUUUUUGCUGGUGCAGAUGAGCCUGGCUGCCCUUUGGAAGGAAUGUGUACUCAAAGACAUUACCCAGAGGUCUCAUAUGAAUGGACAACAAAGUGACCCUGCACUUUCUUUAAGCCUCUGUACCACACUUGAAAAACACCACCAACUCAACAUGAGCUUAUGUAAGGAGUUCUGCCAGAUUCUUUAAAAAGCCAAAGCUUUGAAUGUGAAAGCAUUUGUUUUAAUUUUAAAAGGUAUUCACCACCCUUUUGCUGAAAAGAAAUCAUUGUGGUAUGCAUUGUA